AUUGAACGCUGGCGGCAUGCCUUACACAUGCAAGUCGAACGGCAGCACGGGUGCUUGCACCUGGUGGCGAGUGGCGAACGGGUGAGUAAUACAUCGGAACAUGUCCUGUAGUGGGGGAUAGCCCGGCGAAAGCCGGAUUAAUACCGCAUACGAUCUACGGAUGAAAGCGGGGGACCUUCGGGCCUCGCGCUAUAGGGUUGGCCGAUGGCUGAUUAGCUAGUUGGUGGGGUAAAGGCCUACCAAGGCGACGAUCAGUAGAUGGUCUGAGAGGACGACCAGCCACACGGGGACUGAGACACGGCCCAGACUCCUACGGGAGGCAGCAGUGGGGAAUUUUGGACAAAGGGCGAAAGCCUGAUCCAGCAAUGCCGCGUGUGUGAAGAAGGCCUUCGGGUUGUAAAGCACUUUUGUCCGGAAAGAAAUCCUUGGCUCUAAUACAGUCGGGGGAUGACGGUACCGGAAGAAUAAGCACCGGCUAACUACGUG
rnacentral:rRNA from 1 species